UUUUAUGAUGAAAUUGACAAACAUCAGAUUAGUUCUUGAGGAAGAAGUUGGAGAGUCCAUGUCACCACAAGUUCAUUGGAAUUUCCUUUGACGAGCACACUUGACUAUGAAGGGAGACAUACUUGGAAAUACCAGAUCGUUGGUACGCUCAACAAGUUCAACAAUGGAACUCAUCUCCACUGGCUUCAUGCUAUCCAGAUGUGUAAUCCCAUCCACAUGUAUGUGACUGUGCCCUUACCAUAGCAAAGGGAGCCAAAUCCAUGAAUUGGACAGGUCAGCUCUCUACCUAUCCAAGCACAUUGCCUCUUGGGUCUUUGAAACCUGUUGGAUUCCUCUGUUUGUGAGCUGAAUGCUAUUUGCAAGAUCCAAAAACAAGUAACUGACCAUGGAGGACUUUUGGAAUGCUCUCCCAAGAGCCUCUUGUAGUGGAAAGAACCUUGGACUUCAUACACAGAGAAGGGCUGAGUUGAAAUACCUCAUCUCGGUUGUUUGCUGUGUUACUUUGGUCAAGAUACAAAGCCCAAUUUGGCCUCCGUAG
rnacentral:lncRNA from 1 species